rnacentral:rRNA from 1 species
AUUGAACGCUGGCGGCACGCUUAACACAUGCAAGUCGAACGGCAGCGGGAGAGAGCUUGCUCUCUUGCCGGCGAGUGGCGAACGGGUGAGUAACGCGUAGGGAUCUGCCUGUUAGAGGGGGAUAAGCCGGGGAAACUCGGUCUAAUACCGCAUACGCUCUACGGAGGAAAGUAUGGGACUGGAGACGGCCAUACACUAACAGAUGAACCUGCGUUAGAUUAGCUAGUUGGUAGGGUAAAGGCCUACCAAGGCGACGAUCUAUAGCUGGUCUGAGAGGAUGACCAGCCACACUGGAACUGAGAGACGGACCAGACUCCUACGGGAGGCAGCAGUGGGGAAUAUUGGACAAUGGGGGGCAACCCUGAUCCAGCGAUGCCGCGUGUGUGAAGAAGGCCUGAGGGUUGUAAAGCACUUUCAGGGGCGAAGAAGGCUCGUGCACGAAUACUGCACGGGAUUGACGUUAGCCCCAGAAGAAGCACC